rnacentral:lncRNA from 1 species
AUGAAGAGUGAGCUACAAAUUCACCCAGUUUCAAAGACUUGUUUGAAGACUAUGCAGCAACUUCGUUGUCUUCCUUAUAUUCAAAUCUGCAAACUCCCUCCACGAGCUCAGAAUCCACAACAGAAUCCCAGAGGAGUAGUGAAGGUGCCACCUCUGCCGCCAUGGAAACCAAAGCCUCCUCUGCCUCAGUCCCCUCCCAGCCAUGGUUUGGAGGAAGGGAAGUUCCAAAUGUCUCACGUUUCAUUGUCUUGCUUCAGCCCAGGUCUUAAAAUGUUGGUAGCAGAAAGCAAAUGUGCAGAGAACACUGGAAAACAAGUCAGAAGCUGCUGAUUCCAGAGAUGGUCACAUUUUAUGUAAAAAAUGCCCUCACCACACACUUGUUCAUGGGCGCAGCAAGAAGAGAGGCCCAGAGAGCUCAGGCCGUGAGGGCUGACACAUUGGGAUGAAGCUGGCAGAGCCCGUGGGAGAGCUUUACCAUCCUGCCAGCCCUGUGUCUGGCUUCAAGACAGUCUUGUUACUGCACUUACUGUCCUCAGAGCCCCAGGUUAAUUUGAGUGGAAUGUUACUAAAAAUGAAAUGGAUUAAAGUGACCUCUGCCCGACUUAGCUCUAGAAGACAGCACCCCUGUGCCACCUGGUCCUCUGACCAUCGCUGACACCAUUCCUUCCCUUUCCUUAUUGGCACUUAGCCCACAGCAGCAGCCCCUUUCUGUGUGGGUAACUGUCUUGUCUCCCAUAAGAGUGGAAGCUCCAUGAGAGCAGGGUCUGUCUGUCCUGCCUCAUGUCCCCAGUACAUAGAACAGUGCCUGGUGUGGUGGGAGUUUCAAUAAAGGACAUUGAAUGAACUAUCAGGUCACUAGUGUUGCAUCCUUUCUCCAUCUUUCCCCUUAACUUGCUAUUUGUGUGUUGUGUACCUUUUAAGGAAAUGAAGUCGUGAAAAUUUGGAAAUAAGUGUAAAAAUUUAGUCCCUGUGAAAGUAAUUAGCAGCCUGCAGGGUUGUGCUAGAAACUAGAGUAUAGGAGGACUUUGGAAUUGUUCAUGAUAAACUUAGUAUCUCCUGACUAGUAGAAGACAUAGAUGUGGGAGAGGCAUGAGUCAUGUCUCUGGAACAGUGUAACGGCAAGACAUCUAGGGAGAGUCAGGAAGAAACAUCAAGAAAUGAGAACAGGAAGGUAGAAAGUUGGCAAGUACUAAACAGUUUCCUUAAUAUUUAAUAAUUACAUUUUGGCAUCGAGUAAGCAAGAGAAAUAUUUUCUAGAUCAAGUAGGUAUUAUAAAAGUAUACAGGGAACGUGG